rnacentral:rRNA from 1 species
GAUAAACGCUAGCGGCAGGCUAACACAUGCAAGUCGAGGGGCAGCAUAGAUUGUAGCAAUACAAUUGGUGGCGACCGGCGCACGGGUGCGUAACGCGUAUGCAACCUACCCAUCACAGGGGGAUAAUCCGGAGAAAUCUGGUCUAAUACCCCAUAACAUAUGGAUCGGCAUCGGUUCAUGUUGAAAUUUUCGGAGGUGACGGAUGGGCAUGCGUAGCAUUAGCUUGUUGGUGAGGUAACGGCUCACCAAGGCGACGAUGCUUAGGGGGACUGAGAGGUUUUCCCCCCACACUGGUACUGAGAUACGGACCAGACGCCUACGGGAGGCAGCAGUGAGGGGUAUUGGUCAAUGGGCGCAAGCCUGAACCAGCCAUGCCGCGUGCAGGAUGACGGCUCUAUGAGUUGUAAACUGCUUUUGUACGAGGGUAAAGUGGGUUACGUGUAACCUUUUGAAAGUAUCGUACGAAUAAGGAUCGGCUAACUCCGUGCCAGCCGCCGCAGUAA